UCCCUGGUGGUCCAGUGGUUAGGACUUGGCACUUCUGCUGCCGUGGCCCCCAGUUCAAUCCCUGGUCGGGGAA